CUCCCUUUAUAAACAUCAUCACAUUAUGAUGCUAAAUAAGGAGGAGGAGGAGGAAGAAGAGGAGGAGGAGGAAGAAGAGGAGCCACGUUGAGCUUUGACUCCCUUUAUAAACAUCAUCACAUUAUGAUGCUAAAUAAGGAGGAGGAGGAGGAAGAGGAGGACGAGGAGCCACGUUGAGCUUGACUCCCUUUAUAAACAUCAUCACAUUAUGAUGCUAAAUAAGGAGGAGGAGGAGGAAGAGGAGGAGGAGGAGGAGCUUUGGAAAGUCAAUGAGGACCGGGACACAAAAUGAAAGAGGGACAUGAAACCUGAAGCCCAUUUUAAAAGGAGUCCAGGUCAGUGGUACCGGAGCACCAGGUCCCAAUGGAGAGUGCCAACUGUCAUGAAGGAGGAAGUUUAGUGAAGGAGGAAUAAUGCUUGUCAAUAAGCAUCUCACUGUAAGGUCUCUACACCUGUUGGUUAAGGGCUUGUAAAUAAGCAUUUCACUGUAAGGUCUCUACACCUGUUGGUUAAGGGCUUGUCAGUAAGCAUUUCACUGUAAGGUCUCUACACCUGUUGGUUAAGGGCUUUAAAUAAGCAUCUCACUGUAAGGUCUCUACACCUGUUGGUUAAGGGCUUUAAAUAAGCAUUUCACUGUAAGGUCUCUACACCUGUUGGUUAAGGGCUUUAAAUAAGCAUUUCACUGUAAGGUCUCUACACCUGUUGGUUAAGGGCUUUAAAUAAGCAUUUCACUGUAAGGUCUCUACACCUGUUGGUUAAGGGCUUUAAAUAAGCAUCUCACUGUAAGGUCUCUACACCUGUUGGUUAAGGGCUUGUCAGUAAGCAUUUCACUGUGAGGUCUCUACACCUGUUGGUUAAGGGCUUGUCAGUAAGCAUUUCACUGUAAGGUCUCUACACCUGUUGGUUAAGGGCUUGUAAGUAAGCAUCUCACUGUAAGGUCUCUACACCUGUUGGUUAAGGGCUUUAAAUAAGCAUUUCACUGUAAGGUCUCUACACCUGUUGGUUAAGGGCUUUAAAUAAGCAUUUCACUGUGAGGUCUCUACACCUGUUGGUUAAGGGCUUGUCAGUAAGCAUUUCACUGUAAGGUCUCUACACCUGUUGGUUAAGGGCUUGUCAGUAAGCAUUUCACUGUAAGGUCUCUACACCUGUUGGUUAAGGGCUUGUCAGUAAGCAUUUCACUGUAAGGUCUCUACACCUGUUGGUUAAGGGCUUUAAAUAAGCAUUUCACUGUAAGGUCUCUACACCUGUUGGUUAAGGGCUUUAAAUAAGCAUUUCACUGUGAGGUCUCUACACCUGUUGGUUAAGGGCUUGUCAGUAAGCAUUUCACUGUAAGGUCUCUACACCUGUUGGUUAAGGGCUUGUAAGUAAGCAUUUCACUGUAAGGUCUCUACACCUGUUGGUUAAGGGCUUGUCAGUAAGCAUUUCACUGUAAGGUCUCUACACCUGUUGGUUAAGGGCUUUAAAUAAGCAUUUCACUGUAAGGUCUCUACACCUGUUGGUUAAGGGCUUUAAAUAAGCAUUUCACUGUAAGGUCUCUACACCUGUUGGUUAAGGGCUCAUGUGACAAACAGCAUCUGAUUUGAUCUGAUAGUGUAUUUCUGAGCCUCUCAUUGGGACAUCAGGCAUUACAUCAUGUGGUUCACAUUAAGGAGGAAACCUAGUUACCUUGACGACAAACUCAGCAUGAGGAAGUCCACGAGCACGUUUCCAUUUGAACACCAAUAGUAUUGUAACAGGCAUGACCUUCCCCC